AGUCAAGCAAUAUUAAUAAUUUUUUUACUUAUUUUAUAUUUUUAUGUUUAGAAGCUUCACAUAGUUAGGUUUGAGUCGAAGGAAGGAGAUCUAAGGGUCAAAAAUCAAUUUCCUUAUCUAAUAAAUGGGAUGGAGGUGUAGAUACAUCUGUAUCACUGAAUGAGAUAUGUGGCAACAACCUGUUUGAAAAUCGGAGGAAUAUUUCAAAAUAUAUCCCUCCGUACUAGUUUAGGCUUG
rnacentral:lncRNA from 1 species